AACCUUUUUAUUACCAGUGAUGAAGCGUAAAGUUGUGGUCGUGAACGUCAUGAAACAACCGUUGUUGUUCUUUAGAUGAUGCCGCCGCUACCAGCUGUCAGCAGUAAACUGAAAAGGCACCCACGUGGAGGGCUGGAAAAUGACCAAUCAUAAGAGGCCCGGGGUCAGCCUUGGCCCCGCCCCCAAUGUGUCAAAACUCCUCGCUCCGCGCGAGCAGAGCUCCACCGCGAGCGAGCACGGGGGAGAAUCUGCUUCACUCAGUUGCUGAAUAUGUGCACACCUGAUGAUUUCUUACGGCACACUUAUGGGGCGAAACUGAUUGUCUCCUUGUGUUUUGGCUUGAUGUAAAUCCUGUCCGCUGGCUGGACCCGGCCUCUCUGGCUCUUCGUUUGAGAUUUACAGCUUGACCAUUUAUUUACUGAUAAACACUACUUCACCUAAGAGACUUGAGUAUCCAGUUCUUCGUUGACCUUCAGCAUUCAGUCUUCACCUUUUCAGGUAAGCAAUUUAAAAAAAAUGCUUCUAUAAUGUUGAGAAACACUGAAAUUAUUAUUUAUAAAGAACUUUCAACCACUGUUCUCUGAUGUCAUGUAUAGUGAUAUACAAAUAUAUUUGAAGGAACGGUGUAUUUGGGAUAAUCAAUAUUAUUAGUAUUAUUCGUGUAUUUAUUUAUUUUUAAAUCAGAGAAUGGGUGGAAAAUAGAUUCUUAGUACAAAAACUAGUAACUAGUAAAAAAAAAUUGGUAACAAUAAUGUUCAUUCAUUAAUUGACGCUUGGUCAAACUCUCAUCUAAUUAAGUAUUGCUGUCUCAUUAACAUGUUGUAUUUAUUUAUUUUGUAGGCUAAAACCAGAGAAGCCAUCACCAUGUUGUUGUUUG